AAUGCUACUUGGGUUAUAAUUAUAUACAUAUAUGCAUACGUAUUGGUGGAUAGCAAAAGUAUUUGGUUUCGUGGGUGGCGUACAGGUGCCUUACAGUUCUACGGUGCGGAUUGCUAUUCCUUGGACUAAAAAAAUUUCUUUCGAGAUGAGUCAGAUUAUUGUAACGAUCAUGCAUGGGAGGAUUUUCUGCAGAGAUUCAAAAUGCUCUCUGGAUUCCUCGUGAAACGUCUGGACAACACCUACAUGUACUUCCUCCGUCGUUCAGAGAAUGGUUGAUGAAUUCGCCAUCCGUUCUGCACACACAUACAAAAAUAGUUAAUGUAUAUAUAUAUUAUUUAUUUUUAUUUUUUUUUUUUUUAUAAGUUUCGUUCGGACCUGUUCCUUUGUACGAAGACUGUAUCCCUGUAUAUAAUAUAAUAUAUAUAAUAUGUUAUGAUUAUGUUAGUUGUUAUUUAUUAUAUAUAUAUUUUCCUUAUCUCUCUCUUUUUUUGUUUGUUUUUUUUUUAUUAGUACCUAACAUUGCUAUUAUGAUGCUGUAUUACAUUGCAUUGGCUAUUAUUUGUAUGUGCGACGAAUUUUUCAACAUGGCCGCUCGCGUGUCUCUUUGGUAUGGCGUUGGUUUAAUGUCAACAGUAACGUGUUGUUGAAAUAGCUAAUUAAUUGUUAAUCAUUAUAAUUUUAUUUAGUAGUGUUUUUGUAAUAUUGUUUUGUAUUUCAUGAUAUUGUCUGUGUCAAUACCGUGUGCUACUUUAAUGUGAUAGCAUGGAUUGUAUUGUUACCGAAUUUCAAUAGUCAUUGUUUUGAUUAUACGUGACUUGCAUUUAUAUUCUGCUCUUUCGAUGCUGCGUCACUUACCUGGAUCGUUCCCACAACAUCAUCCGAUUCUUUGAUAUGCCUUGGAUACUUACUACGGCUGCCUUCAAUCGUCUUAUAUCUGUGGUCAUAAAGCUGGCUGUUGUACAUGGUGUUCCGUAAACAGGGAGCCAUAACCUAUUUUGCACGUAAACCUUCUCGUAUGAUGAUUACUUGUUCACAAGGUGUUCGCUAUCUGUAUUAUUCGACGAACAGUGUCACACCUCCUUUUGAUUUAUCCACAAUAUAGUUAUAACAUUUAGUAACCUUGUAUUUUGCACUGAGACGAUUGAAACUAAUUUAUUCACUUAUUUUAGGUAGCUGUCGUACAUUAUGUACCACGAACAACGAUCCAUAACCUAUACUUACACGUACACUUUCUUGUAUGUUGAUCACUUGUUCACAAGACAUGCAAGAAAUUCCGUGUUGGAGAGCGAUGUUGCGAGUUCGAGUGCC